rnacentral:rRNA from 1 species
UACGUAGGGGGCAAGCGUUGUCCGGAAUCAUUGGGCGUAAAGCGCGCGUAGGCGGCCCGGUAAGUCCGUUGUGAAAGUCAAAGGCUCAACCUUUGAACGCCGAUGGAUACUGCCGUGCUAGAGUCCGGAAGAGGCGAGUGGAAUUCCUGGUGUAGCGGUGGAAUGCGCAGAUAUCAGGAGGAACACCAAUAGCGAAGGCAGCUCGCUGGGACGGUACUGACGCUGAGGCGCGAAAGCGUGGGGAGCGAACAGG